rnacentral:rRNA from 1 species
GAUGAACGCUGGCGGCGUGCUUAACACAUGCAAGUCGAGCGGGCAAUUUAUCUAGCACUGAUUACUUCAAAUGGAAAUCAUAAGUGUAAUCAUGAAUUUCUACCUUUAAUAAAGAAAAAGAAAUUCAUGUACGCAAAUAGUGAUAACACAUUUUAGUGAAGUGAUGAGUGCUGGAUAAAUUGCUAGCGGCGGACGGGUGCGUAACACGUGGGUAACCUGCCCCUAUCACUGGGAUAACACACUGAAAAGUGUGCUAAUACCAGAUAAUAUAAGCUUUUGGCAUCAUUAGCUUAUCAAAGAAUUUCGGAUAGGGAUGGGCCCGCGUCUGAUUAGCUAGUUGGUGAGGUAACGGCUCACCAAGGCAACGAUCAGUAGCCGACCUGAGAGGGUGAUCGGCCACACUGGAACUGAGACACGGUCCAGACUCCUACGGGAGGCAGCAGUGGGGAAUAUUGCACAAUGGGCGAAAG